GAAUUUUAUAAAAUUAUUAAUUUUUUUAUUUUAUAAAUUUUAUUUAAUUGGGAGGAUUUUUAAAUUUAAUAAACUUUAAAAUUUUUAAUUAAAACAUUAAUUUAUGAUAUUUAUAAAAAUUAAUAAAUAUUAUUUAAAUAAAAAUUAAUUACCUUAGGGAUAACAGCAUAAAAUUUUUUUAUAGAUCUUAUAUAUAAGAAUAUUUGU
rnacentral:rRNA from 1 species